UACGUAGGGUGCGAGCGUUAAUCGGAAUUACUGGGCGUAAAGCGUGCGCAGGCGGCUUUGCAAGACAGAUGUGAAAUCCCCGGGCUCAACCUGGGAACUGCAUUUGUGACUGCAAGGCUAGAGUACGGCAGAGGGGGAUGGAAUUCCGCGUGUAGCAGUGAAAUGCGUAGAUAUGCGGAGGAACACCAAUGGCGAAGGCAAUCCCCUGGGCCUGUACUGACGCUCAUGCACGAAAGCGGGGGGAGCAAACAGG
rnacentral:rRNA from 1 species